rnacentral:rRNA from 1 species
GACGAACGCUGGCGGCGUGCUUAACACAUGCAAGUCGAACGCUGAAGCUCAGCUUUUGUUGGGUGGAUGAGUGGCGAACGGGUGAGUAACACGUGAGUAACCUGCCUCCUUCUUUGGGAUAACGCCCGGAAACGGGUGCUAAUACUGGAUAUUCACUGGUCUUCGCAUGGGGGUUGGUGGAAAGUGUUUUUCUGGUGGGGGAUGUGCUCGCGUCCUAUCAGCUUGUUGGUGGGGUGAUGGCCUACCAAGGCUUUGACGGGUAGCCGGCCUGAGAGGGUGACCGGUAACAUUGGGACUGAGAUACGGCCAAGAAUACUACGGGAGGCAGCAGGGGGGAAAAUUGCAGAAUGGGGGCAAGAAUGAGGCAGCGACGCCGCGUGAGGGAUGGAGGCCUUCGGGUUGGGAACCUCUUUCGCUAAUGGUCAAGCCGCAACAAUGGUUGUGGUGAGGGUAGUGGGUAAAGAAGCGCCGGCUAACUACGUG